GAUCACGUUACGUUGAAACGCCGGCUCCCGUACGAUUACAGAAGUUAAGCAAUGUCGAGCCUGGUUAUUAUCUAGAUGGGUGACAGUUUGGGAAUGCGAGAUGC